CGGCGCGCUACCUGCAGUCGAACGGUAACAGGAAGCAGCUUGCUGCUUUGCUGACGAGUGGCGGACGGGUGAGUAAUGUCUGGGAAACUGCCCGAUGGAGGGGGAUAACUACUGGAAACGGUAGCUAAUACCGCAUAACGUCGCAAGACCAAAGAGGGGGACCUUCGGGCCUCUUGCCAUCGGAUGUGCCCAGAUGGGAUUAGCUAGUAGGUGGGGUAACGGCUCACCUAGGCGACGAUCCCUAGCUGGUCUGAGAGGAUGACCAGCCACACUGGAACUGAGACACGGUCCAGACUCCUACGGGAGGCAGCAGUGGGGAAUAUUGCACAAUGGGCGCAAGCCUGAUGCAGCCAUGCCGCGUGUAUGAAGAAGGCCUUCGGGUUGUAAAGUACUUUCAGCGGGGAGGAAGGGAGUAAAGUUAAUACCUUUGCUCAUUGACGUUACCCGCAGAAGAAGCACCGGCUAACUCCGUGCCAGCAGCCGCGGUAAUACGGAGGGUGCAAGCGUUAAUCGGAAUUACUGGGCGUAAAGCGCACGCAGGCGGUUUGUUAAGUCAGAUGUGAAAUCCCCGGGCUCAACCUGGGAACUGCAUCUGAUACU
rnacentral:rRNA from 1 species